ACUGAGAAGAACUCGACUCCGUCGAGUUGGGGCUGAAGAGCUCGUGCAAAGGCGCGGGAUCUCCUCUGUCUUCAGCCACGAAUACUCUGAAAGGGGUUGGUUCUUCUACUUCACCAAGAAUUUCUGAUAUCCUUCUUGGCAUGCCGUAAUCUGCUGAUCGCCUCGAUUUGAAUUUAUGAAUUCUAGAAAGAGAUCUUGAAAAUCAGCAAAGGAAUAUCUUUUCAGACUUACAUAAAACUUCUCCGAUCGAAGAACCUGAAGAUCUUGUUGAAGGUGCUGCUUGUGCUCCUUUCGGCUUUGACUAAAAGUCAGAUUAUUGUACUCGAAAUCUGAUGGCAUCUCUUUUGAAAUUUCAGAACCAACCGAUGCGAACACGGUUCUAUCUUCAUGGCCAAUCUCUGCUGAAUUUUCUGAAUUGUCUUUCUUAGGCAAUUCUUCUAGAGUUAUAUCAGAAAGAUCACCUCUGAAAUUUUUAUCUUCCACGUUGGCUUCUUUCUUGUCCUCAAUCUCAGCGGGUCUAUGAGGAACUUCAGAGGAAGGAGAAGGGAUCUUAGCGGCAGGGACAUCAUCAGAUAGUGUUGCUAAAUUUUCAAAAUCAGCAUCAAGAUCUUUUUUGAAUAUCUGCUGAUCUUUAGUGGGACAAAUAUCAGUGAGGUGCCCUCGGCCACCGCACUUGGAGCAAUCGG
rnacentral:lncRNA from 1 species